GUGGAUAUGGCUCAGUGGUGGCGUAUUUGACUACAGAUCAAGAAGUCCCUCGUUCAAACCCAGGUGCACCCU